AUUGAACGCUGGCGGCAGGCCUAACACAUGCAAGUCGAGCGGAUGAAGGGAGCUUGCUCCUGGAUUCAGCGGCGGACGGGUGAGUAAUGCCUAGGAAUCUGCCUGGUAGUGGGGGAUAACGUCCGGAAACGGGCGCUAAUACCGCAUACGUCCUGAGGGAGAAAGUGGGGGAUCUUCGGACCUCACGCUAUCAGAUGAGCCUAGGUCGGAUUAGCUAGUUGGUGGGGUAAAGGCCUACCAAGGCGACGAUCCGUAACUGGUCUGAGAGGACGAUCAGUCACACUGGAACUGAGACACGGUCCAGACUCCUACGGGAGGCAGCAGUGGGGAAUAUUGGACAAUGGGCGAAAGCAUGAUCCAGCCAUGCCGCGUGUGUGAAGAAGGUCUUCGGAUUGUAAAGCACUUUAAGUUGGGAGGAAGGGCAGUAAGUUAAUACCUUGCUGUUUUGACGUUACCAACAGAAUAAGCACCGGCUAACUUCGUG
rnacentral:rRNA from 1 species